rnacentral:rRNA from 1 species
CUGGCGNGCGUGCCUAAUACAUGCAAGUCGAACGCUUCUUUUUCCACCGGAGCUUGCUCCACCGGAAAAAGAGGAGUGGCGAACGGGUGAGUAACACGUGGGUAACCUGCCCAUCAGAAGGGGAUAACACUUGGAAACAGGUGCUAAUACCGUAUAACAAUCGAAACCGCAUGGUUUUGAUUUGAAAGGCGCUUUCGGGUGUCGCUGAUGGAUGGACCCGCGGUGCAUUAGCUAGUUGGUGAGGUAACGGCUCACCAAGGCGACGAUGCAUAGCCGACCUGAGAGGGUGAUCGGCCACAUUGGGACUGAGACACGGCCCAAACUCCUACGGGAGGCAGCAGUAGGGAAUCUUCGGCAAUGGACGAAAGUCUGACCGAGCAACGCCGCGUGAGUGAAGAAGGUUUUCGGAUCGUAAAACUCUGUUGUUAGAGAAGAACAAGGAUGAGAGUAACUGUUCAUCCCUUGACGGUAUCUAACCAGAAAGCCACGGCUAACUACGUGCCAGCAGCCGCGGUAAUACGUAGGUGGCAAGCGUUGUCCGGAUUUAUUGGGCGUAAAGCGAGCGCAGGCGGUUUCUUAAGUCUGAUGUGAAAGCCCCCGGCUCAACCGGGGAGGGUCAUUGGAAACUGGGAGACUUGAGUGCAGAAGAGGAGAGUGGAAUUCCAUGUGUAGCGGUGAAAUGCGUAGAUAUAUGGAGGAACACCAGUGGCGAAGGCGGCUCUCUGGUCUGUAACUGACGCUGAGGCUCGAAAGCGUGGGGAGCAAACAGGAUUAGAUACCCUGGUAGUCCACGCCGUAAACGAUGAGUGCUAAGUGUUGGAGGGUUUCCGCCCUUCAGUGCUGCAGCUAACGCAUUAAGCACUCCGCCUGGGGAGUACGACCGCAAGGUUGAAACUCAAAGGAAUUGACGGGGGCCCGCACAAGCGGUGGAGCAUGUGGUUUAAUUCGAAGCAACGCGAAGAACCUUACCAGGGUCUUGAC